rnacentral:rRNA from 1 species
UACGGAGGGUGCAAGCGUUAUCCGGAUUCACUGGGUUUAAAGGGUGCGUAGGUGGGCAGGUAAGUCAGUGGCGAAAUCUCCGAGCUUAACUCGGAAACUGCCGUUGAUACUAUUUGUCUUGAAUAUUGUGGAGGUAAGCGGAAUAUGUCAUGUAGCGGUGAAAUGCUUAGAUAUGACAUAGAACACCAAUUGCGAAGGCAGCUUACUACACAACGAUUGACGCUGAGGCACGAAAGCGUGGGGAUCAAACAGG